GACGAACGCUGGCGGCGUGCUUAACACAUGCAAGUCGAGCGGUAAGGCCCUUUCGGGGGUACGACGAGCGGCGAACGGGUGAGUAACACGUGGGUGACCUGCCCUCAGCUCUGGGAUAAGCCUGGGAAACCAGGUCUAAUACCGGAUAUGACUCCAUGACGCAUGUUGUGGGGUGGAAAGCCUUGUGCGGCUGGGGAUGGGCCCGCGGCCUAUCAGCUUGUUGGUGGGGUGAUGGCCUACCAAGGCGA
rnacentral:rRNA from 1 species